GUGCCAGCCGCCGCGGUAAUACGUAGGUCCCGAGCGUUGUCCGGAUUUAUUGGGCGUAAAGCGAGCGCAGGCGGUUUAAUAAGUCUGAAGUUAAAGGCAGUGGCUUAACCAUUGUUCGCUUUGGAAACUGUUAAACUUGAGUGCAGAAGGGGAGAGUGGAAUUCCAUGUGUAGCGGUGAAAUGCGUAGAUAUAUGGAGGAACACCGGUGGCGAAAGCGGCUCUCUGGUCUGUAACUGACGCUGAGGCUCGAAAGCGUGGGGAGCAAACAGGAUUAGAUACCCUGGUAGUCCACGCCGUAAACGAUGAGUGCUAGGUGUUAGGCCCUUUCCGGGGCUUAGUGCCGCAGCUAACGCAUUAAGCACUCCGCCUGGGGAGUACGACCGCAAGGUUGAA
rnacentral:rRNA from 1 species